GAUGAACGCUGGCGGCGUGCCUAAUACAUGCAAGUCGAGCGAACAGACGAGGAGCUUGCUCCUCUGACGUUAGCGGCGGACGGGUGAGUAACACGUGGAUAGCCUACCUAUAAGACUGGGAUAACUUCGGGAAACCGGAGCUAAUACCGGAUAAUAUGUUGAACCGCAUGGUUCAGUAGUGAAAGACGGUUUUGCUGUCACUUAUAGAUGGAUCCGCGCCGCAUUAGCUAGUUGGUAAGGUAACGGCUUACCAAGGCAACGAUGCGUAGCCGACCUGAGAGAGUGAUAGGCGACACUGGAGGUGAGCCACGGACCAGACUCCUACGGGAGGCCGCAGUAGGGAAUCUUACGCAAUGGGCGAAAGCCUGACGGAGCAGGGCCGAGUGAGUGAUGAAGGUCUUCGGAUCGUAAAACUCUGUUAUUAGGGAAGAACAAAUGUGUACGUAACUAUGCACGUCUUGACGGUACCUAAUCAGAAAGCCACGGCUAACUACGUG
rnacentral:rRNA from 1 species